CAACGCUCCAAGUGGGAGCUGCAGGGUGAGGAGAUGCAGAGGAGUCACACAGGAGCCAAAUGCUUCAGGAAAGUCAGCAUUUACAGCCUGGAUAGGCAAAGGGCAGGCUGACUCAGCAUUAGAGGGGUUGUCCUCUUAAUACCCACAGUGGUGUCAAAAUGUUCUCCAACAGCAGGUCUCAGCAGUCAAGGUCCCUGCAGGGUCAGUCCUGCCCUCAGCAUCGUUAAAGUGGACAAGGAUAAACUUUUCCCACCCAGAACACAGGGAAGUUUGUGCUGUCUCAGUUGAAGGUAGCAUCUCCAACUCCUUUCAAGGGUUUUGGCUGGUAGCAGUAGUCUGCAAGUGAUGAAGCUCCAGUUUUUCAGGAUUGUGAAGGGAUUUCUGCUAACAGGAGCUGACCCAAACACAGCCCCCUGACCACUCACAGGGAAUGGUGCUCAGCCUUUCCCACAAGCUGAUUUUAACAUUGCUUCAGAGUUUCCCUUGGAAAUAUCCAUUUUAAGAGUACAGGUGAAUGGUGAGCAUCCAGGGCUAAGGAGUGCUGGAGUGCUCAAAUAGUCCUGAUGUCAGCCAAAUGAACUGGAUCAUCUAAUUAUUUUCAAUUACAAUCCUGAUCCUUUCCUUAAUGUUUUCCUGUGCUGAUAUCUGUGUGGGUAAUGCAGCCAACUCUGGCUUUAUGAUCCCCCUUGUUGCAACGUGCUGUGCUUAAUUACUUUGCCUCUGUAACAAACAGACAUUCUGAACAAUUAGACAAUAAUAUGGAAGCAGGAAAGGAAAAUAGCUCAAUAUACUUUCAUUUUAAUUAUGCUGAUAGUGCACCCCAUGGUUUUGAAUCAAUGCUGGAAUAAUGUUCUUUUGAUAGUCUUCAAUAACUUUAAACGACA
rnacentral:lncRNA from 1 species